rnacentral:rRNA from 1 species
UAUGUGAUCGUCUCUCGCAUAUCAAUAAGCGGAGGAAAAGAAACUAACAAGGAUUCCCUUAGUAACGGCGAGUGAAGCGGGAAGAGCUCAAAUUUGAAAUCUUCAAGGUUUUACCUUGACGAAUUGUAGUUUAAAGAAGUGUUUUCUGUUGAAGUUUUGGUAAAAGUUCUUUGGAAUAGGACAUCAUAGAGGGUGAGAAUCCCGUACUUGACCAUUAUUUUCAGCUGUGUGAUACACUUUCAAAGAGUCGGAUUGUUCGGGAAUACAGUCCAAAAUGGGUGGUAAAUUUCAUCUAAAGCUAAAUAUUGGCGAGAGACCGAUAGCGAACAAGUACCGUGAGGGAAAGAUGAAAAGAACUUUGAAAAGAGAGUUAAACAGUACGUGAAAUUGUCAAAAGGGGAAGCGUUUGACACCAGUGUUGUUUUCUCGAAAAUCAAUUAAAAAGAGUUUAGAUUUUGUUGUGUAUUGACCUUAACAGCUUGCAUUUCAAUUUUCUUGCUCUUUUUAAUGCACUUUUCGUUUAACAAGUCAACAUCAGUUUCUUUUGUUGCUAAAAAGGUCAUUGGAAGGUGGCUUUCUUUUCGGAGAAAGUGUUUAUAGCCUUUGACUCCUGCAAUCGGAGAGACUGAGGUCUGCAGCGUAGAUCCUUCGGGGUUAGAUACAUUUGUGCUAAGUUAUAGCUUUUUAUAGACAACUUGUUGACUAUGAUUAGUCUUGUAGCUUACUCGCUUAUGCUAUUUUACCUACGCUUAGGAUGUUGAAGAUGUAGCACAUCAU